rnacentral:rRNA from 1 species
AAAAACUUGGCGGUGUUUUACAUCCAUUUAGGGGAACUGUUUAAUAAUCGAUAAUCCGCGUUCUUACUUUAUUUAUCAUAGAAAAAAUGUAGUUUGUGUAUUGCCGUCAUCAGCUUAUCCUUUAGGGUGAAAUAAUAAGCAGAUAACUAAUUAGAGUUUUUAUGUCAGGUCAAAGUGCAGCUUAUAAUAAAGAUAGAAUGGGUUACAUUUUUAAAGAGAAUUCAGAAAUUUAUUGAAAUUUAAAUGGAAGGUGGACUUAAUAGUAAUUUUAUAUUUAGAAUAAUAUAGUGAACACGGCUCUAAAAG